AUUGAACGCUGGCGGCAGGCCUAACACAUGCAAGUCGAGCGAGCGGCGGACGGGUGAGUAAUGUCUGGGAAACUGCCUGAUGGAGGGGGAUAACUACUGGAAACGGUAGCUCAUACCGCAUACCAUCAGAUGUGCCCAGAUGGGAUUAGCUGGUAUGGUGGUUAACGGCUCACCUAGGCGCCGAUCCAUAGCUGGUCUGAGAGGAUGACCAGCCACACUGGAACUGAGACACGGUCCAGACUCCGACGGUAGGCAGCAGUGGGGAAGAUUGCACAAUGGGCGCAAGCCGGAUGCAGCCAUGCCGCGUGUGUGAAUAAGGCCUUCGGGUUGUAAAGCACUUUCAGCGGGGAGGCGUUACCCGCAGAAGAAGCACCGGCUAACUCCGUGCCAGCAGCCGCGGUAAUAC
rnacentral:rRNA from 1 species